rnacentral:lncRNA from 1 species
GAACGGUGUGGCCACGAGAGUCUAGAGGAAACCAACCCGCAACUCACUGGAGCUGAAGGGCUGGUAGUCAGGCCGAAUCUCGCGAGAAUUGGAACUAUUUCAGAGCCAGAGGAGGAUAGUGGCGGCGGCGAACUUUGCCCGGUAGAUUUUACUGACUGGGGUGCUGGCGCGCGCCUUUUUCUCGGCCAGAAUCCAGUUAUUGGGAUAGUCUUGACUUCUACCUCAGCCCAACUUCUGUGGUCGUAAUAUUAGUUUAGCUUGGGUUUGCCGUGAAGUAAGAAGACUGACUUCCGCAAAGGUACUGAACGACUGGGUGUAGGUGCCAGGGCAUGGACGUGAAGCUGGAACCGCGAAAUGAGUUAGUUGUGGGCCGCUGGCCUCAAGGAGCGAACGUCAGCGCGAAGAGGAGAAGCUUGUGCAUACGCUCUGAUAAGGGUUUUAAUAGAGAGAUGGAAUCUCGCUGUGUCACCCAGGCUGGAAUGCAGUGACUCGAUCAUAACUCACUAUGACCUCGAACUCCCAGGCUAAAGCAGUCCUCAAGCAAUCCUUCCACCUCAGCCUUCUGAGUAGCUGGGAGUAGCUGAUUAACUAAUGCGUGUCACCACGCCCAGCUAAUUUGUGUAUGUGUGUGCACAGGUGUAGAGCUAGGGGUCUUGCUAUGUUGCUCAGGCUAGUCUUGAACUCCUGGCCUCAAGCAGUCUUGUCUUGACCUCUCAAACCAGUGGGACUGUAGGUGUGAGCCAUUGCUCCUGGCUGAGCACUGUUUUUUUUAGGACAGACUGUAUUCAUUGUUGCAAUCUUCAGCUUUUGGAACAUCGUCUAGGACAGAGAAGCUGCACAAUAUGUAUUUAUCGAAUGAGUGAAUGAUACUUUUGGGAGAGAAGACAGUGGGUUGGAGAAAUAUCUUGGAAGAAUUGGAAAUUUUAGGUGGACCUUGAAGAAAGGGUAAAAUUCAAUUAGGACACAAGCAGUGAUCAAAAGCAUUGAGUUGGGAACAAAGUGGUAGGAUGUGGGAGUUAGUAUAUAGUAAAAACAACUAAAAUAUAGAAAGAGAUUAUGUGUUUAAUAGAAAUAGGAUUGACUAAAGUGAAUCCACGUUGUAUCUGUAAGAGGUCCAUCGUUGAACUUUAUUUUUUUUUGUUUUGUUUUUGAGACAGGGUCUCACUCUGUUAUCUAGGCUGGAGUGCGGUGGCACAAUCUCAGCUCACUGCAGCCUCAGCCUCCCAGGUUCAAGUGAUUCUCCUGCUUCAGCCUCCCAUAUAGGGAUUACAGGCCUGCACCACCACACCUGGCUAAUUUUUGUAUUUUUAGUACAGACGGGAUUUCACCAUGUUGGCCAGGCUGGUCUCGAACUCCUGACUUCAAGUGAUCCACCCGCCUCGGCCUUCCAGAGUGCUGGGAUUACAGGGUUGAGCCACCACACCCAGCCUCAUGGUUGAAUUUUAGGAGAGCCGUACAUCUCCUCCUGAUAAUACAUGCAAAACUUCAUGUGUCCAUUUUUUUCUGAGUUGAAGUUUCAUAGUUUUCAUCCAAUUCUCAAAGGUGUUUAUAAACCAAUAAAGGUUAAGAAUCAUGUUGUGCAUUUGAAAGACUAAUAGAAAGGCUUAAGCUUAAUGCUGUAGCAAAUUAGUCUUCAAAAGUUUUCUACCAUAGCAUUCAUUAGGAACAGAAGAGGGGGAAUGAGACCCUAAGAUUUAGAGAUGAAGUCUGAAACUUAGGACUUUAUAUUUAUCUGAACAUCAUAUGUAAAUUUUACUAUUAUGGGACUGGUAUUAAUGCUUCCUUAUAAAAAUAUAUUUAGCCUCAUCAGUGAUCAGGGAACCAUAUUUGGGACCAGUCUGUUCAGUUGGCAAAAAUUAAAAAGGCCAUCAUAUCAGAAAGGAGAAGGUAAAAUGAUUUGUUCACAGACAGCAUGAUCUUUUAUGUACAAAACCCUAAAGAUUCCACCCAAAAAACCCUGUUAGAACUAAAAAACAAAGUUGCAGGAUGCAAAACCACACAAAAUUUAGUUGCAUUUCGAUGUAAAAUUUAAAAAGGAAAUCUUAAAAAUUCCAUUUGCAACAGCAUCAGAACUAAAAUACUUGUGAAUAAAUUUAACCAAAGAGGCAAGACUUGUACACUGACAACUACAAACAUUGCUGAAGC